rnacentral:rRNA from 1 species
GACGAACGCUGGCGGCGUGCUUAACACAUGCAAGUCGAACGGAAAGGCCCUGCUUUUGUGGGGUGCUCGAGUGGCGAACGGGUGAGUAACACGUGAGUAACCUGCCCUUGACUUUGGGAUAACUUCAGGAAACUGGGGCUAAUACCGGAUAGGAGCUCCUGCUGCAUGGUGGGGGUUGGAAAGUUUCGGCGGUUGGGGAUGGACUCGCGGCUUAUCAGCUUGUUGGUGGGGUAGUGGCUUACCAAGGCUUUGACGGGUAGCCGGCCUGAGAGGGUGACCGGCCACAUGGGGACUGAGAUACGGCCCAGACUCCUACGGGAGGCAGCAGUGGGGAAUAUUGCACAAUGGGCGGAAGCCUGAUGCAGCAACGCCGCGUGCGGGAGGACGGCCUUCGGGUGGUAAACCGCUUUCGCCUGUGACGAAGCGUGAGUGACGUAAUGGGUAAAGAAGCACCGGCUAACUACGUG